GUCAGAACUGAGAUGCAGCCUCAGUGCACAGGUGUGGACUCUCCCGCGACAGCCUGCACAUGUGCACCAAGUGAUAAGAAAGACUUUAUUCAUUCACAGAGGCACAAGUUUCUCUGUGUUUGCACAUUAUGAGAAUUAGUAAAAAUUCAAGUCUUUGACCCAACAGGAUAUUUAGCUUCUGGACAUGCCUCAGUCUGUUUUAGAGUUAGUAAUUGCGCAUGUAGAAAUUCGGUUUUGGAGGGAUGAUCAAGACCUUGUUUCUUCUCAUUUUCGUCAAAGAGCAGCUGCUGAGUCUGUGACUGUCCGGAAACUACAGUCACAUUCGUCAGCUUUGUUUCGAGGUCCGUUGGAGGUCUUUAGAGCUGUUUGAGGCCCACAGUCCUGGGCGUGAUGGCGUAAUGCCGUGACAGUGGGCGCGUGACAAGAAUAGAUUUGACCUGUAUCCUUUUUAGCAUCACUACAAAUUCAAACGGACCUUUAGCUCACUGCCAGAAAGGGCAGCGCUGGCACAGCUCCACAUUAUAUCAUGAUGGAUCUUUAUUUAGCUGUGAACCAGACCUCCAUCAAAGCAGAUAUUUUCUUUAGCCAUCACUCUCUUUUUUUUGACCUGUGCAGAGAACAACAGACUUAUAACUCUCAGCAAGAAGAAGGUGCAAGAAGAUAGUGCAAGCCAACUUCCCCCUCUGAACCUUUCUCUGUCUUUUCCUCUUGUCCUCUUCCUCCCCCCUUCUGCUCUUCUCUGCUUUCUGGAGCCCUGAAGUCAGAUUUCCGACUCGAAAAGUCGGACGAUCCUCACCAACCCCGACAAGGUCAUAAUCCAAGAUGGCAUCGCAGUGCAUCAACAGCAAAAAGUAACAGUUAAAGCUCUCGUAAUGUAUUAUUUAUUAGCACUUCUGUUUUGUUUUUGUGAAAUUAAAUAAGUGGUGUAUGUUGUACUGUCCAAUGUCUAACUGUGAACAUGGUGCUAUGGUGUUCGCAAGAGUAAAAUACUGUCAUGCAAUGUUUAUAACUGGUAUCGCUAACAACAACUAACAACCGCUGACAAUGGCUAACAAUAGUUGACAACCGCUAACAACAACCGACAACGGCUAACAAUAGUUGACAAUCGCUAACAACAACUGACAACGGCUAACAAUAGUUGACAACGGCUAACAACAACUGACAAUGGCUAACAAUAGUUGACAACCGCUAACAACAGCUGACAACGGCUAACAAUAGUUGACAACGGCUAACAAUAGUUGACAACCGCUAACAACAACUGACAAUGGCUAACAAUAGUUGACAACCGCUAGCAACAGCUGACAACGGCUAACAAUAGUUGACAACGGCUAACAAUAGUCGACAUCCGCUAGCAACAGCUGACAACUGCUAACAAUAGAUGACGACUGCCAACAACAGCUGACAAUGGCUAAUGACAGCUGACAAUUGUUAACAACAACGGCUAACAGCAGGUAUCCAUCUUGGUUUUUCGACUUGUUUACUGGAUCACUAUCUUCUCAGGUGUAUCAUUAUUCCAAGCUCCAACUCCAAAGGUAACUGCAACACAGUAUAAGUAGUUGUAUUUUCAUAAGUACACAAGGUCCUCUGCACAUUUGUCCAUAUGAAACCCAUAUUCACAAACAAAUGAGUCCCCACUUUCAAGCAAGCAAAUUUAUGAUCUGACUGCCUGCGAAGGACAAUGUUUAUGCAACUUAUCAAGGUUCUUGUCAGAAUACUGAAAGGCUUCAGAAGCUUUUCUUUAACUGUGCUAUUAUUAAGUGAACACAAAUGUUUACCUUGCUCUUGAAAGCACAGAAAGCCUCAAGCAGAAUCCUCUAAAAUGUCAAACCUGUAAGUUAUUGCAGCACUCUGGUGUCUCAGAGAGCUGAUGAUUCAACUAAGCUUUUCUAUACUUGUAGAAAUCUUCCCUGAUGGUUAAUUUCUCCCUUAUCAUCCUCCUUCUCUACUUUGUCCUGCAGGUGUAGCAGAGGUGAUAGUCCUGGUCGGAGGGCGUCAAACGAUCGGGAUGAACCAGCGCUCCCUGACAGCGGUCACCUGUUUCAACCCCCAGAACAGUAAGUGGUACCCGCUGGCCAGCCUGCCCUUCUAUGACCGAGACUUCUUCAGUGUCAUCUCAGCCGGAGACAACAUCUACCGGUCAGGUGAGCUGAAUAUACUGGGGGACGAUUGUAGCUUUACUGUUCGGCAAUAAGAUAACUUUUAUUCUGUUCAAAGAGUGAUUUUUGCAAAAAAAAAAGUCUGUUCUACUUUCUUUGGUCCUGACCUUUUUUCGCUGUCACUGCAGUGUUGUUCAGUUCAUUUAGCUCCAUACUGACUCACUGUGCUCUCUGUGACUUCCUCGAUGAAACACCUUGAAGUUGUCUCUCCAGAGAUAGACUGAAUUCCUCCCUCUGUGGAGACAGUGCUCAAACCUUGACAUUGCACUGUGGAAAUACAGCAGGAUUUAUCCUGUGUGUACCUGUCCUCUCCCUCUUUUCAUAUAAAUGUAAAUUUGUGUUUUGGGCAUUGGAGCAGGUCUGCAUGUGUCCGCUGGGAGUCAAGACAACCAGAGCAGAAGUCAGAGGUGUUCUAGUCAGCCAGUCAAGAAGUGCCAGUGUUGGCUGGUGUUAAAAAAAAUUACAGGGAGCUGAAACAAACACAGUUUAGAUGGUUGUUUGAUUCACUUGCCACACGGCUCUGUCAGCUCUUUGUUUGAGUUCUCCCUCAGUUUUAAAACUUCUGAGGGAAGUGUAUGUGUGAUAGAAAGCUCUACAUGAUUGGAGGACUGGGUGACUAGUGACGGGAAGAACAGUUCUUUUGACUGUACCUAAUCUUUAGAAUACGUUCAUUAAAAUGAUUCAUUCAAAAGAUUCCUUCACGAAAUCAGUCAGUGAUUCGGAGCCCCGUCCUGCUGGGUGUAGUACACAAGUGAGUGACACAGCAGCGCAGAUCAGAAGUUUGUUAGUUGAACAGGCCCCUCCCCUCCCCUGAUGCUGAAGUCACAGCUUCGUUCAAUGGAUGACACAUGUCGUUCAUUUGUCAAGUCAUGAAGAAAGAAUCACUCUUGUGCCCUGAAAAACUCACUUCUGUGUGUGCAACCGACGUUUGCAACACGGCACGAGUGAAGCAACACAGCUGCAAGCAGCAUGCCUGCUAAAAGAGCGUGAAUCUUCGUUUUUAUGUAUCACAGAUAAGUGGCGAGACUCACAGUGAACGAACCGGUGCUCAGAAGUUCGUGAACGUCGCUACGCUCCUCCCUCCUCUGCCUGCCUCAAGUCGUUCGGGAGUCGUUCAUUUCAUUUACUGUCUGUAUGAAACAUGUCGUUCAUUCUCUGUGAGCAAAUCACAAGACUCCGCCUGCCCACUCACUCGCUGGCUCGCUGUGCGUCGUUCACCAAAGAGUCACAUGCGGCAGUUCCACUCCUGACGGGCACACCAAGCUCGCGGCUGAGCUCAACUGAACUGAGAAAGGAACGAAUCAGUUUUUGGAGUGAUUCCAUUCACGUUGUUCCGUUCUUUCGAAUGAAUCGUUCAUGAACAACACAACACUAAGUGGGACUGUCAGGGACCUGGACUACAUGGAGAGGUGGGAGUCAUACAGCAUCGUCAACAGCAGCAGCAGCUCCCAGCUGGUGACACACACAGCUAUAACCUCGAUCUGACAGCCAUCUCAGCAAGUAGGGGUGACUCUGCAGAAAGAAAUCUAGUUUGCACAAAUAAAUAUUCACUCUGCGGUAAAUAUAGCAGGUGGUGUGUCAUGCGGGGAUGCGAUGCAGCAGCUUGUAAAAGUGAUUGGACAGGUUGGUUAGCAUUUUCAGAGAGCGGGAAAAGGGGAGUGAAUCCGAGCCGGGUGUGAGUGUCCUUGUGCAGCGACGGUUGGAGCACUUGUGUUUGUGAGUGAGAGCUUUUGCUUCCAGAGAGCAGAGGGACCAACUCUCUGAUUGCACCCACUUCAUGUAAAGGUCGUCCUCUGUGGCCUGUUCUGUGGGAACUCCUCAGACAGUUUCCCCCAUGGAGUACAAUGAACUCCUACUCACUUAAAGCAUGAAUAGACAUUGUUCUGAGUUAUACCUCUUGACUUUUAUCACUCUGCUUUUCAUUUCUCCUCACUCCUCUAACCUGAGCUGAGAAGCGAGUUUCAGCAGAGAGACUUCCUCCUCAUGCACGGCAAAGGACGACAAGCCAAAUUUGUUUAAAAUGUCUUACUUGACUACUCUUCAUUUUCCCCCAGACAGGGUGUAUCAAUGAAGACUUAGUUUGCAUUUACCUUUAUGUAAAGAAGAAUAUCUUGCUUCCGAUGAAAAGUAAAGACGGUGGAAGCUUUUAUUGGAAAAGAGCAGUUAUUUGUCGAGUCUCUGAGGCGAAACUAAAGCGCGGUGUUAUGCAUCAUUUACAAUAAAAGUUUUGUCAGACUAUACUUGUUUGAAUACAGCUAUCAUCCUCUGACAUUAUAUCAAAUAAAUGGUAUUCAUAAAGAGUGAAGGAGCACUGAUACUUUGUAGCCUAGCUCGGCAGAUAAAACAGCAGUUUGUCUUCAAAGACUCAAACAUUAACUUUUAUCUGAUACCUUUUUUUAAUAUAUAAAAUCUUUAUCAGAGACACUUCUUCCAGCUAUAUAACCUUACAAAGUCUUCUUAACCUUAAAAAUGCCCCUGCUCCCACACACAGCUGCCUGGUAUUUGCUUCCGACUUUGAAACAAACAAAAAACAGAAUAUUUUAACUAAACAUUAAAGCUCCUUUGUUCAUUUCUUCUCAUCUGCUUUGAUAAAUGAGCCCAGCUCAUGACCAAUCCUUCAUUUUAAGUUUGGUAGGUGUGUCUCUGCUCUAAGACUCAGCAGGCCUGGCUCCAGCUCAGCCCUUUAGGUCCAAAACUCUAAAGAUGAUGGGGACUCCAGCAGGGAGGCAGCCAGUCCACAGCAGGACUAAACCCUGACCGGAGAAGAUAAGGAAGCUGUUACUAAAUCCCCUUUUUUUGCCACUUCCCCCAGGAGGAAGAGCUGCACAGAUCUCAAGCACUUUGUGACAGAUAGAGGAGAUGAUAUGCAGGAAUCAUUAGUCAGUGAGGGUGAAUGGUUGCCUCAUUUGAAGUGCGCAUGGUCGCUGGGGUUGUGUUUGAAGGCUGGGAAACAGCAUGAAAUGUGAUCUGGGUAAAUUGAUUACACACAUGGAAACAUUUUUUCAGCCUGCAUUUCUUUGUGUCCUGCAAAACUAUGUCUAGAUACACCUUUAUGUCUCUGUUUAUUGUUUAUUUUGAUGCCUGCAUACAUCAGCCAUCUUCAGCCAGGGCUCUUCUCCUUCCUGCAGUUUGACUCCUAAUUUGCAGUCCUUCCUAUUCCCAUCACUCAAUCCAUCUCUCCAUCCAUCUCUCUGGGGGUUUCACGCUUCUAGCUGUGAAAUUCACCCACACUCGCAAUUACGUCUUCAUUCAGAGCCGUCCAAAAGCCAGUUGGAUGCUGCCUUUUCUUUGGGAACAACAGGAGGUCCGAAUCAGCGCUCAAAGGAGUCAGCGAGCUCAUUUAUGUCUCUGCUCUCCUCGCUGAUGACUGACAGAUUUUUAGGGACGGGGAGCGGCUGAGUUCAGGAGGCUUUGAACUUGUAAUUGGGUACUCUGGGCCUCAGCAUGUUUAUUCUUUGGCAAAACUCGACGUGAUUGCGGAUAUUGAAUAAUUCAUGGAUAUCUAAUGAUGUGUCAAUCACAGAUGGUUUUGUUUUAUUUAUCGGGCACUAUAACCAGGUUUAUGCGUCCUUCAGGCUCCAUUGCACGUUAAUAUUGCAUGAAGACCGUUUGUGAUAUGACGCUCGAUAUACCCAUCAGCUUUUCUUAUCAGGGAUGUUGAGUUGUUUGGUUAACAAGUCUGGAGGCGAGAGGAACAGUUAGCAAAGAUCACGUUCUCAGGGUCGUUUAUGGCUUUUCAAAAUAAAAUGACCUUUUGGACUGCAGUACGUCAGUAAUUGCGGCUGUAAUACACCUAAUUGGGAGCUCUAUUGUUCAGGUUAAUUAACUAACUAAGUGUCCCUGCUCUUUACAGUUACUGUAUGUGCUCUUGUAAAGGCACCCAAUGCCAAUUUCUGCUUUUUUUCAACCUUCAUGGAGGUUUUCACCUUGCUCUGACAAAAUGCCAUUAUCCUUUUCUUACUGCUUCAUUUGCAUGUUUGUGAUAAAUUCAACAGAUAAGUGCAACUUGAUGUGAACUUGAACCUGGUUCCCUAUACUCAAGCUUAAAUACAGGCCCAUUAUUAACCAAAGACAAAAGAAAGUUUGCAGCGUUGUCGCUUAGGUUUUGUUUCUGUACUCAGUAACAAUGGAACCAGCUAUAUAAGCUCCCUCUGUGCAGCAAUAAUCAAAUUUUUCUCUCACAUUUUUCAUCCUCUGCGAGUAAGUGUGUAGCUGGGUGGAUCUGUCCGUCUUGUAUGGGGUCAUAAUGAUCCUGGAGCUAGUUCAGGAGGUAGGGAAAGGUUGGCAAACCGGGUAAGACACUGUAGUCGUGGACAACAGGCUCCCAGACCCCCUGCUGAGCUGAUCCCCGCUUGUCAGGAUUAACCAACCUCACUGGGCUGCUCCCUAUUGUGCUGUCGAGGCACCAUUAAAGCCUCCAGCUCGAUCUCAGCACCACUCUCCUCAGUCUCUUUCUUUCAUCUCAAGAAAAGGAAAGCAAGGAUGUCUGCGAAGGCAUAUGUAACCCUGCUAUGAAUAUAAAAAUCUCUCAUCUCCAGUCCUCUGCCUCCUACCUCUUAUUCCUCUUGUCCCAUGAGAAAACUGUCAUGAAUUUAGGGAUGUGUGUGAACAAGCAAAAAGUUUUGGGUAAAAUGUUCAGAACUCUGCAGCAGCUUUGCCCCUAAAAUUGUCCAAAGUUGCACACCUGAAUAAGAUCUAUCUUUAACUAAUCAUAUCCUUAAGGGGUUAGGACAAGAUCAUCACAUCUCUCCUACAUACAAAAUAUCCUCCUCUCAAUCUCGCCCAUUUCCCCUGUUUUCUUAUUCUAUCCACCGUCUCUCCUCUCCUGCACCUUCUGUCCCGCUGUCCCCCUCGUCUCCUCGCAGUCCUGAUUAGGUGGGCAGGACUUGAUGGGUGUAUUUUGGGGCCUGAAAGGCAAAGGCGGUGUCUCCUCUUCCUUAUCUUCUAAUGGGUGCUGAGGUCUCUGAAAUAUGGAGGAGGAGGAUGCCAAGAGUGUGUGUGUGCGUGUGUGCAUGUGUGUGUGUGACAGUUAGAGAAACAUUGGCGAGCAGCAGCAGCGGUGCCUGAGGACGGUAUUAGUGAAAGGCAGAGAGAGGCUGCAGGUAAUGAGCAGUAUGAGCUCCAUGUGCUUCUCUUUCAUUGAUUAAUGAUGAGCUGGACUUUGAACAAUUUCCGGCUUUCACCAGCAGGCAGAUCAUUUUUCUCUCUCUCUUUCUUUCAGCUUUUGUGCUUUUUUCUACCCUCUUUUUUUCUCUCUUUCAACUUCCAUUUCUCUGUCCAGAUCACAAAGCCAGUUUUACACAUUUGAAACAUACUGUAUAUCUCAUCCUCUCUUGUAUAGGGCUGCAAUCCAGUUUUCCAUACAGCCAGCCUGCAGCAGCCAAUUAUCAGAGGUUAAAAAUUGACAGAUACAGCAGAAAUUGCAGGACGCCAGCUUGCAGACCCCCAUGAGGAAGCAACUUCUGAGCACAGACCAUCUCAAUACCCAGACACCUACACAUAGGGACAGCACUGACUCUGGUGGAUGGAGGUUGAGUUUUCUUUUACAGCUUAUUCGACUGAGAUUAAGUUUUUCUUGUGCAGACACAGUGCUAUACCUACAAACAUGGAAAUCAGCUCUCUGUGGGCCCAUUAAAGGAUCUAAUUCCUCUCUUACUGAAGACGCUGCAUGCUCAAAGCAUGAAUGUCUGAAUGCAGGAUGUUCUGAAUAAAUGGAAGCCAAGGUUUUCCCUAUAUGAAUAAUUUUCAAAUGAUUUCCAGACAUGCUAGCAGCAUAGCCUAAGGAUGGAAGUGUCUGUCGGCUGGUCCCAGCUUAAUGUAUUGUUGGCGCUAAUUAGCUAAUGUUCCAUGCAAACUAACAAACAUAGAUUACGCUAAUGGAGCCAAGGGCACAGAAUACUCACAAAAACACAAAUGGAAAGUAAAGACAGUCCAGAUCUACCUUUUACAAGCGCAUAAUCUUAUUAGUCAGUGUCUUGUUCACAUUGUCUUUUAUCUGGAUCUCAUCCAAAGACGCCCAAUGAGAAAGAUCCAAAGCUCUGCAGAGAUGAAUGCAUUGUAGCUCCAAACAAAAGUUCCUCAGUCUAAUUGCUUUAAUUGCACAUAAUAGUCAGUCUUAUUCUAUACCUCUAAACCCUGCUAACAAUAUUAGCAUUUUUCUUUGAGUUUGAUCCAGUGAUAACUGGCUGCAAAGUAUUGCCAAGUGCUGCUAGUAGUUCAUUAUAGAUCCUCAUAGUGGAUUUGACUACUAAAGCUGGGUUAUGACCAGAGGUGGGCACAGUUGGUCCAAAAUUUUGCUUGUUCACUAGUAAUCUGUUUGCACAUCUGUUUAACUUUAAUAACAGCUAAUUUGUUAAUUCUGAUCAAAAUGAACUAGAGCUUUAUUCCAGGGUCUUAUGACAGUAGUGGAUCAAGUGUGUCCACGGGAGGUCAGUUUAGGUCCACACACAGAAGUAACGAAAGGUUCUCAACAUGCAACUUGUUGGUGAGCUCGCCUCCUUGUAUCAGGACAAGAAAGUUUGCUAUUGAUGCAGUUUACUCAGAGCCGGCCAAAAGCAUAAGUGAAUUAAGCGCCUGCUAAGGGCCCCGCAGCUAAUAGGGGGCCCCCAAGAGCAAUCAAAAUUUAUAUGCAUAUAUAUAUAUAUUUUUAAUGAUUUUUUGCAUGUGUGAGUGAUGCUUUCUGUAUGAUCAAAUAUAUAUUAUUGUAAUAACAAAAUAAAAUGAAGUAAAAACCUGUUUAGUGCUGCCGAUAUGUCAAUAUGUCACAAUCUGCGGGGCGAAAACAAUGUCGUAAAAAAGGAUAUAUCCUUCAGGUGCAUGUCAUGGAAUGUUAAUCAAAGAGAUUUGUGAAGGUGUGUGAAUGAUCAACAAUCAAUAUUAUUGGCAGAAAUAGAGGGCCCCAAAAUCAAAUUUUGCUUAGGGCCCCAUUGAGGCUUGGGCUGGCUCUGAGUUAACUACAAAGUGUAUAUCUGAAAACUAAAAAAGAAUAAUUUUCCAAUAAUUUUCUUGAUUUUCUGUGUUUUUCCCUGUCCUGCUUUAUUACCAAAAGAUAACAGAGAAUUUGAUAUAAAGGCCUGCCUCUAAUAAAAGCCUGUCUCAUAUGGCCACAAGGCCUGGCACCUGAGGCAAUAAAAACAAAAAAACAUGGCCUAUAUUUGAGUAUAAUUUGAUUAUAAUCUCUUAGAACUGUAACAAAAGAGGUGUUUUUAUUUCAACACAUUUUCCACACUGUUAGAAAUCCUACACUAGAUUCUAACAAGUUGGCACAUGAUGGAUUCUCACUGCAAAGAGCUGUCAAAGUACUUUUCAAUAACAGGGAAUUAUUAUAUCAAAUUGUAGCUCUUCGUUGUUGCAGGCAACAUUCAGAGCAGCAGGCCUCAGAGAGAAACCCAGGGUCAAAAAAAAGUGUCUGAAUUCAAAAUGUUUCCUGACAAGAAGUUGAUCUCAUGUCAUUAAAGCAGCAGCAUGGAGGCACUUCCCUCAGCUCUGCAGCCCAGAAACUUCCUCUCUGUUAUUAGAGGUUCUUCAGAGCAAGAGUACUGUGAGCAAAAUUAUGAUUAUGUAACGUGUGUGUGUGCGCUGGAAGCUGAGUGAAAUUCAAGAGCUGACAGAGCAGCUUGCGGGGGAAAAAGGAGAGAAAAGUCUGGUUAGGAAGUAUGUAUACAAGGAGUAACAGGUGCACACAACCUCCCCUGCUCUUAUGCUAUGAAACCGGGCCGACAGUAACUUUUGUGAGCCAGUGGGAAAUGCUUCUGGAUCUCCAAGUCUCUUAUCCUUCUCUGCAUCUCUCUCAGUCUCAUCCACUGACAUACAUACAGCUGUGAGUGUUUCCUCUGACUGUGCAUGUGUGUCUCCCCUCUGCAUGAACCAUCUCCCGCAUGAACUGCAAAUGGGUUUCACAAACACUUAUCAGGACCGACUCCCUUCCUCCCACAGAGACAGAAAUAAUGUAUCGCGCCCAAAAUAGUCCUUUUCAACACGUCUGUUGAGGUGUGUGGUGCCUCUGCAGACCUGCUCGUCUGUGUCUUCAAUAAAUCCGUCUGCUAAGCAGCAUAUGUCCUGAAACAUGGGUGUAAAUAAGCCUCCUCACAUACAGUUUACUUCUUGUGAAGCCUCAGCACCUCUGCCUCCACAUUUAUGAGAUCAACAUGUUUAUGUUGACGCCAUGCGAUGAUGACUGUUGUUAUGGAGUCUUUACAGGAAAGAGCUCUUAUCAAGAUCAGCACAGUAAACAGCGCUGCAACAGUUGAGGGCUUUGUGUUGUGUUGUUUGUGCUGUUCUUGCAGGUUUCAUAGAUCCAGAUAUGAGCAGUGUUGAUGCAGGAAUCAGAUAGGAAAGGAAGUGAGGCAACAAUGAAGUGUUUGUUUAGACAGCAGCUACAAACUGUGUGUGUUUUGUGUGCACUUGCUUUAAUUUGCUACCCGCCUCUGACCUCAGCCUGAGGAGGUCCAAACUUUGUGACUCAGUUAUUUUAUCAGAGAGUCUCUGUGGGCUCAUGUUGCCCAACAGGCACAGCUGUACUAUUAUCAUCAAAUUAUUAUAACCUUGUUUUCUGUUUGUUUUCCUCUUUUUCAUCAUUAUUAUUGCUGAAUGUGGUCUGUUGUUAACCUUAUUUUAACCCUAGAGCCUCAAACUAGGGCUGGGCGAUAUGACCUCAAAUCAAUAUCACUAUUUAAUGAGCAGUUCACCUCGAUAACGAUAAAUGGAGGAUAACUACUCCACAAGCUGCUCACCCCCUCCCAAAUGAAUGUCGUCUACUUCAGCCGCAAGACGACGGUUAUUGUCGUAAAUUUCUGUAUCGGUAAAUUUUCAGGUUUAUUGCCCAGCCCUACCUCAAACCUAGACAAUUAUAAGGCUACGUUCACACUGCAGGUUAUAAUGCACAAUUUGGAUUUUUUGUUAAAUCCAAUCUUUUUGUGUGGUCGUUCACAUUACAACAAUGAAUGUGGCAUCUAAUGUGAACGGAAUGCAUCCGUGAAGUGACCCGCAUGCGCACACAUUUCUUUCCGCGCCUGUUUGUGUUGUCGAACAAUGGUGACGUUUGUUGCAUAUUGAUGACGUAUAGGUCGGAUGACGUGACCUGAGCGUCCACACUGCAGCCACAUCGGAUACAUAUCUAAUUUCUUUCCACAUACAAAAGAGGCCUGGGUAGGAUUUGAAAAAAUCAGAAUUGCACUGUUCACACUUACAUGAAAAAAUCAGAUAUUUGUCACAUAUGGUUAAAAAAUCGGAAUUGACCUGCAGUGUGAACAUGGCCUUAGAUUCUCCCUUGAAUAAUGAAUCAUUAGCUCGAUCUUUAUUUAUAUGGCACCAAUUCACAACAAGUCUUAUCCCCAAAAAAAGCUGUCCCAAGUCCCAUCUCAUCUUUGGAGCCGUGAUAUUUAUCAUGCAAGUGUCAGAUGAAAGCAUAAUAGAGUGCUGUUCAUUAAGAGUUUCAGUGUGCAGGGCAGCAGGAGCCCCUCUCACCUCCACAGGUGAUCUGUUAAUUAAAAAUGUCAGACUCCUCUCAGCAGCUGGGGGACAGAGAAAGGAGGAGGACUCCCCACAACAUAAUGAGCCUUUAGAGCCUUUCGUUGCCAUUAUUAAAGCAUCAGAAACGACUCCUCCUGUUUCCCGCUACAAACGAGGGAUACCUGUGCACUAUGGCAGCAAACAAGGAGGGCGGCUGCUCCCAGCAGAGUGUCUGUUCAUCAUUCAUGCUGCUUGUAAAUUGGCCAGCUGUGGUCUGCUGAGGGAAAAUUACUGACUUUAAAAUCUACCUCCUCUUCCUCCGCAGCGAGGCUGCUGUCAAAAGCUGCAGGUGUCCAGUGGUUGUGCAUAAGCCACAGCUCUAAUUUUACAGAGCUAUUUCCUGCAUCAGAUUGAAUUAUGCAGAAUGUACUAUACACAUGUUCCUGGUACAUCCAUACUUUUCUUAAUUUUUGGGCACCAAGCACAGAGAGUGCAAGAACGCUGUUAUGUCCACUAUGCUUAUUCUAUCUUCUUUGCAAUCCUAUUUCUUGACAAUAGUAAAUUGCAUAUUUAGAGUUGUACAUCAAAAGCUCAUGAAAUUUUGCAUGCAUAUCAAGCCUGGUGAAAAAAUUAUGAAAGAGGAUUAGGGCCACAAGAAGAGAAAAAAAAACAAUUACAGGAGGAAGAUUUUUUAAUUUCCAUUUCGAGAUUUAAGUCCGAAUGUAAAAGUCAAAAUUUCAACUUUAUUCAUGUUGUCUUUACUCUCGAAAUUUUUAUAUCUCAAAAUGUAAUUUUAUUAAUCUCAGAAUUUCAACAUUAUUCACGACAUUUCAACAUUUUUUAUCUCAAAAUUUAAACUUUAAUUUUGAGAUUUCAAUUUUUAAUCUAGAAAUUUCAACUUUGUUGACAUAAAUUAGAUUUUUAAUCGCAAAAUUUUAACUUUAAUCUCGAAAUUUCGACUUAAAUCUCAAAAUUUAAUUUUUUUUAAUUUUGUAAUUUCAACAUUAUUCAUGACAUGUCAACAUUUUGGCAAUCUCAAAAUUUCGACUUUAGUCUCAAGAUUUUAAUUUUUGAUCUCGAAAUUUCGACUUUUAUCUCCCUCCUGUAUUUUUUUUUCUCUUCCUGUGGCCCUAACCCCCUUUGCAUAAAAAUUUGAUGUUGCUUUUGUGUUUUCUUUGUAAAUCUUUGGACAGGCUAAAAGGGUGUGAAGACUCAUAUGCUCUUGCAGUGAGUCUGAAUGGUUUGAUUCCAUCUUGGAAGGAGCCUACACAUCAUCUAUGAUCCAAAGGUAACCACAUGGUAGUUAAUGUGGACUAUAUAGGCUGUGUUAAAGUAGUUGACAUCACCUCGUUUUGAAACUGGAACCAAUCAGUAAGUCUCCAAAACCCACAUUUAUUUUAUUCUGAUAGACAGCAGCAGGGAUUAUAAAGAAUGCCCGUCAUGCUGAUAGGAAAAAAGCAUCCUCCAGAAAAGCAGUGACUGCAUAAUCUAAUCAUCUUUAGCUUUUUAAUUCUGCUCUAAAAGAAAACAAAUUCCACUUGCUUUUUACAAUUUGCGGACACAACAUAGCAGAAAAAAGGGAGAAAAAAUGAAUAUUAACAGCAGCAGAAUCACAUCCUAAUAUUCCACUCAGCGUGAACCACUGAGGUGUGCAGUUUGCAGAAUAAUGAACCCGCUGAUUUUAGGGCCUGAGACAUUUUUAGAUUUUUUUGCAGUAGCCGAGAAAGAAAGAAGCAAACAAUUACAGCCUGUAAACUCACGCUGAACGUGCAACAUAAAUCAUGCUGUCAUAGUUAUUGGGUAGCUGAGCCAGCCCUCACCAGGCAGCUGUUCUGUGGCAUUUAACUAAGUCUGACUCACAGAGGGGAGGGAGGGCAGUGCACACAGCACAGGAUCAAAACAUGAAAACAUGUAAUACGCAGGAAAAAGCACUUUUCUCUCCUGUGCGUAAGGAUGAUGUCUAGCAGAGUCAUCAUGCAGGAGAGCUGCAUCUCUAGACUUUGCCCUGUGAACUCCCUGCUUUGGAUCCCCUCAUGUCUGCCCCCCCAAAGAAUAUAAACAGUUUAUAGAUUUUUGUCUCAUCUGACUUCAUCUUAUUGCAAAUGACAAUUAGAGCCACACUCCUGCUGCUGUGAGUCACAGCUUUCCGAUAUCAAAUCCACUUUGGACUUUACUCUUUGGCUGCUGCAGGGUUGAUUUGAGCUGCGCUCAGGAACUCAUUACUGCCUGUAGUAGGAGUUAGAUCUAUAUACAGUCCUACGGGCUUAUCUUAAUAGUAUUAAUAGACAUCAUUUAGGAUGCAAUCAGCUAAAUAACAACCGUCAUUAAAGGCCAUACCUAAAUUAAGAGAAAAUGAAUGUAGACUCCUGUUUAUCAGAAAGAUGUGGAGGUGAAAGAAAUUUUCUAGUCUGCCCUGAAAGAGACUAUGGAUAAUCAAAAUACCUCAAUAAUUCCUGUCUGCUCUUGCAGCACUGUGAUCCUGAAUGGGAAGAUCUUCACCACAGGAAGCAUCAUGUCGCCCUGGGCAACAAAGAGACAUUUGACCCUUGCUUUGACACACUAACGCUCCAACAGAACCUUCAAAAUUGCCCACCCUUACAGUAAAAAUAAACAAUUGCACAACCUGGUACAGGAAUAUUGUCUGCCUCUUUGGCUCUUAAGAUAUAAAGAUGGGGGUUUGGCGUUGUUAGUAAGGCCCAUCUCUACUUCACCUCUUUGACGCUUUCAGCCAGAUAUUCCUAGAUGCCUGCACCUUGCACUAUUUUCAGUAACAUAAGAUUUUAGUUGUUUGCAAACCUUAAAAAGCUUUUUUUUAGUGUCCAUUUUUUUGGAAUUGUAAGAAUACAUCUGAGUUCAACAUUGUGUCUUAGAGUGAGUGCUCUUGAAUCUUAGCCUCAUUGAGACCACUCUGACUGCUUCAUUCAUACAAACCUGUUCCAGCAAAAAAGACUCAAUCUGUUGUUGAAAUCUCUUUGAUUCUCACCCACACACCAGAAAAACUGGUACUUCAGAGAAACCAUCUUGAAAAAAAGAGUGGACACCUGUUGAUGAUUUAUGUGCAUGUGAUUUUACCACUUUAUUUUUAACAUCCUUUUAUCGCAGCCCUAAAACUGUUAGCACCAGGUCACAAAGGUUCAAAAUCUGAAUGUAUAAAUGUUGGAAAAUGAAGCUUGCAUAAAAGUCACUGAUGAGGAAACUCCCCUGAAAGAGCCGGUGUUCAGACACACUGAUGGUAUAACACUUCUCUGUUUGCAGUGUCUCGCUCUAAAUUUCUAAUAAACUCAUUGCUUUGUUGCUCUGCACCUCUGAUGUGAAGUCUAUCCGCCUGAAGCCUGAUCACCUUUUUAUCUGUGAAAAACAGGAGACAGUCUAUGAAGGUUUCUGCACUGACACCCUCAUUUUUAAAUGACUUUAUCCAACUAUCAUGAUACCAGACCUGCAGAGCUCUGUUUCUCUACAGCAUUUCUUCACAUUCGUCCAUCUGGUUUUAAGUAAGGUGCAGACCAAGCCGAACCAAGCUAGGACAGACAGAUUAAAAGUAUCAACCUUGGAUUAACUGUUCAGUUUGAUGGAUAAUAAGGAGGUAACCUGCUGCGUGAUGUGUGCUAGGAAACACAGGCAAACAAAACACGUGCCAACAAGCUGGCAUCCCUGCUCUACAAUCACUAAUUUUAGUCUUGUGGGAUAAAAUGAACCAAAGCACCUGGCACCACCUGGCUGACUGUUUGCACCCCCUCUUUCUCUGCUGCCUCCUCUCUCUGACAUCCUGACAGCCAGUCCUGGCUACCAGCACCAGGAUGCUGCCAGUUCUGGCCAGCUGUCUGCGCUGACAUCUACAGCAG
rnacentral:lncRNA from 1 species